rnacentral:lncRNA from 1 species
UCAAAGUAAAACUUUCAUGAGUUGUCUUGUGGCUUAUUGUUUUACAAAAAGUCAAAGAAGUUAAAACUUUGGGCCAAAUCACUGAUGCUUCCUUUCCUAUACUUUGAAAGACAAGCUUAUAUGAUGAGAUUAAUGUAACAAAUUGCUGUCAUGCAGAAAUUAAAAUGCAAUUAUUUUCAUAGCAAGUGGAUAUCUAUUUGGCAGCUAGGCCAUUCCAAUAACUUCCUUCUGAAGUAGCAUAAUAAUAAUUCUAAGUUUCUGAGUUAGCUUUUCAUGCCUUGCCCCCUGAAAAAUAGCAAAAUAUGUAAUAAUCAUAACUUUGA